rnacentral:rRNA from 1 species
CUAUGCGCCUUGCCAGCCCGCUCAGAAACUUAAAGGAAUUGACGGGGGCCCGCACAAGCGGAGGAACAUGUGGUUUAAUUCGAUGAUACGCGAGGAACCUUACCUGGGCUAGAACGCAUUCGGAAUCAGGCCGAAAGGCCUGCGCCAGCGAUGGCCGCUUGCGAGGUGCUGCAUGGUUGUCGUCAGCUCGUGCCGUGAGGUGUCGGGUUAAGUCCCAUAACGAGCGCAACCCCUACUGCUAGUUGCCAGCGGGUCAUGCCGGGGACUCUAGCGGAACUGCCAGCGUAAGCUGCGAGGAAGGUGGGGAUGACGUCAAAUCAGCACGGCCCUUACGUCCAGGGCUACACACGUGUUACAAUGGCCGGUACAGAGGGCAGCCACCCCGCGAGGGGGCGCGAAUCCCGAAAGCCGGUCCCAGUUCGGAUCGGAGUCUGCAACCCGACUCCGUGAAGCUGGAUUCGCUAGUAAUCGCGCAUCAGCCACGGCGCGGUGAAUACGUUCCCGGGCCUU